CAAUAGCGUAUAUUAAAGUUGUUGCAGUUAAAAAGCUCGUAGUUGGACUUCUGCGGGUGGCGGCCGGUCGUGCUCGAAACGGACGUGAACUUGGCGUGCUGCCCGCAUCUUUGGGGAGAUUGUGCGUGGCAUUAAGUUGUCGUGCAUGGGAUUCUCAUCAUUUACUGUGAAAAAAUUAGAGUGUUUAAAGCAGGCCUUUGCCUUGAAUACAUUAGCAUGGAAUAAUAAGAUAGGACCGUUGUCUAUUUUGUUGGUUUACAGAUGUCGGUAAUGAUUAAUAGGGAUAGUUGGGGGUAUUCGUAUUCAGUUGUCAGAGGUGAAAUUCUUGGAUUUUCGGAAGACGCACGACUGCGAAAGCAUUUACCAAGGAUGUUUNCAUUAA
rnacentral:rRNA from 1 species